UCCAGGAGAUGGAGGAGAAGAGUCAGCUGCCAGCCGGAGAUCUCCUACAGGAUGUCCGAAGCACCUUGCAGAGGUAUGAAGAAAAGGAGAGGUUUGAGAAUCCAGUGACUUUUCCUCUUGCGUUGAAGUGGAGGAU